GGUAUUGAGUUUAUUGUUGAGAAACAAUAUAUUGUGAGGGGUAUUGAGUUUAUUGUUGAGAAACAAUAUAGUGAGAGAGAUGUUGAGUUUUAUUGUUGAGGAACAAUAAAUUGUUAUGAUCUGUGGAGAUCAAUAGGUCACGGGGUGACCAUGGCAUACUAUCAGCGACCCACGCUCUCGCGCCGGGUAGGUGGAACUGAAUAGUAUUAAAUCGUGAACCACGCUCUCGCGCCGGGUAGGUGGAAACGAUCAGUUAGAGCUCUAGUCUGUCUGCCAAUUGUUGAGUGGUGUUGUGAGGGAAAUGUUGAGGUUACUUGAGACUGUGAGUGGUCAUGUAUGAGUGAUGUUGAGGUUACUUGAGACUGUGAGGGGUCUUAUGUGAGAAGUGUUGAGGAUACUUGAGUCUUUUAAGAAUGAGUUCUUAAAAGAGAGCCUCAAGAGUAUCCUUCCUUUUAUGGUGAUUGUGUUGAGUUAUAUUAAUUGUAAAGAAAUAAAUCAACAAUUCUUUCUUGUUUACUCAUACUGGCUGUAAAAAGCUUACCGGGUUUUGUGUUGUUGCAACUCCCGGUACACUAUUCAAAUUGUGUAGCGGGUAAUCCUACAGGACAGGAGAACCAGGACGGUGAUCGUGCGGUUAGAGCAAUUGUUAGAGUUUUACAGCAAUUGUACGUUGUGAGGUGUGUUAUGCUCAUUUGAGCUUUACAAUAUUGCUUGUGAGAGUGAAUUGUAAUAAUGAACUCGAAGUUUCGAGAUUUGGAUUUUGUAAUUGUAAUUAUUCAUGUUUCGGAUUUGAAUUUAUUAUUCAAAAUUCGGGGCGUGACAGUUUGGUAUCAGAGCGUAAGGUACAUAUUUGGUGAUAAUCAAUACUUCCCGAGUGAUGGCCCGUCUGCAGCGGAUCCCCAUCAUAUACUCUUCGGUAUUGGUAUAAUCAUUGGGUAUGUCUUAGUAUGGGGUCUAGACAGCGUGUAUGUCCGUAGGACGGUAGAGUUGCCUUCUAAGUUCGUAUUAGAAUAAGUUUAGUUUCCGCGAUUGAUACGCUCAAAGCAAGCGCAUAAUUUAACCCUGAAAACAUCGUUAGUAGUAUAAGCAAAUAGGGAUCGUUCUAUUCCGGGGAUUGAGGGUACACCUGUCAUUGUCAAAAAAACAAAUAAAGAAUUAAAAUAAUAAAGUAAAAAGUAUUAUGUACAAAAAUAAAAUAAAGAAUAAAAAUAUAUACAAGUUAAUAUAAAAAAGGGGGGUUUUGAGAUUAUAGAAUUGGAAUUAAAAUUAAAUGAAAUAAAGAAAGUGUAAAAACACAUAUACAAGGGUGGAACACAAGAAACAAAGAUCAAAACUACAAUCAUAUGAAUGAAAUCCAAUUACAAUUCCUAUAAUUGAUUAUCUAUGUCAUGAGAAAUAAGUUGACCAUGUGAAACAUUCGAAGCAAAUGAUUUCCCAUAUUUUACUUUCCUUGAAUAUUUAAUCUAAGUGAAAGCACCUAAAUUAAACCUAUUGAACAUGCAAUCAUAGCCUAGAAAACUAGCUAAUCAAGAACACAUUCAAUGCAUGAAGAACAAAGAAAGGAUGUCAACCAAAGUGCACAACCUAGUAUGAAAAAGUCCAUCUAUUUGCAAUCCUCCUUAAUUGAUUUCGACUUUUGUCCAAAGCCUUUACUACUUAAAUCUAGCACCAAUUACAUGCAUAUAUCCUAAGUUGGCCAUCAAAUAACACAUACAUAUAAAAGUUUUCCAUAAUCCAAAAUCAAUUAAGCAAUCUCACAUAAGCAACAUAAAAAUCAACAUAAAGAAAUCACAAUUUUUAUUCAAACAUAGAAAUUGGGCUUAAACUUUGCCCUUAAUGUUAUUGUUAACUAGAAACAAAUUCCUACGAAAUUAAAUAAGGAAAAAGAAUGAAUUACACCGUGAGUUGGAGAUGGAGAUGGAGUGCUUGAAACGUUGAAAUCUUGAAUCUUGGAAGCAAGCCUUCAAGGUGGACGAUGGAUGAUAUGAUAUUCCCGGCUCCUUCUUCUUCUUCUUCUUCUUACUUGAAAACGCAGAAUUUUGCAACUAGAGAAUGGAGAGAAAAAUGGAAAGGAAAUGGAGAGACAAAGAAGAUGGAAUGGAUGAAGGAAUAUUUGGGAAAAUGGAAAGGAAAUGGAGAGACAAAGAAGAUGGAAUGGAUGAAGGAAUCUGUGUUUAGAGUGAGAGGAGAAGGUGUUUAUAUAGGGAAGAAAAAGAAGAGUGAAAUGAUAAAUGGAAGAAAAAUAAUGAAAGUGGUUUGUAAAAUAUGGAAAAGAUGGAGUAAUGAUGAAAUGAAAGCAAGGCAUGAAUGUGCAGAAGUAUGAAAGUGAUGAUGAUCUAUUGGAGCAGAAAAAUAUAUCCAAGGAAAAAGAGAAAAGCAUCUAGCUUUCUUCAUGUGGGUAGGAAACAUGAACAUGUGAUGUUGAGCUGUUUUUUUAGAUCAGUUUCUGCCCCUUUAUUCCUUCAAUUAUUUCUCCAACAAGCAUUCCCAAUUUCACUAUGACCUCUUCAUAAAAAAUGUUCCAUUAUGAGUGUAGAUCACCCUGGUAAAAUUUCAGAUUUUUAUUCCAUGUGGUUGGGCCGAAAAUGCUGCUGGACCUCUUACAGGUCCAGUUUUCCAGUUUUGCUUCUGUAGAAAAUUGGGCUGAUUGUUUGAAGGCCUUCCACUCAACAAAAGUUCUUGCACUCUUCAUAAGAAAUGAUCCUUGGGCUGUCUAGAAUGGAUCUGGAAAGUUUCAGCUCAUUUGAAGUUCAUUUGGUCCGGCGGCCGCUCCUUCUUCCUUGCUUGGCUUGGUUUCUCCUAGCCGGAGUAGGAAAAUGUGUAAAAUUGACAUUUUAGUACAUUUCCAUUUUUCUCCACCAUUUAUAGGUAAGUGUGGACCUAAUGCUCAUUUCACCAUCAUUUACUCCAAUGUACCUAAGAAAAUAGAAAUUGAGUUAAAAAUCGAUUCGUUAAGGAAUUAACUAAGCAAAAUGUGAGGAAUUAACUAUUAAAAUACCACAUUAAAAUGCUCCUAUCAAAUUCCCCCACACUUAGCUUUUGCUAGUCCCUUAGCAAAAUCAAAAACUAACAAACCAAAAAGACUAUGACACAAAACAAAGAAACCAACGAAAAAAAUGACUAAGUAUGGAAACAAAAACACAAAGACUCAAAGAAACCAAAAACGUAAAACACAAAGCAAAACACAAAGAAAAAAAAAACGUCACACAUAAAAGAGUAAAUUCAAAGACAAAGACCAAGAUGUUGACAUCACAAAGACCUCUAUUGCCCUUUAACAUAUUGUCUCAGAAAUCUCUUACUUUCACAACACCAAGAUUAGCACUCAACCAAGAAUCAAUGUUAAGCAUUCGAGAGUUAAUUAAAACAUAUGAUCCACACAUACACAAGUAGGACUUGGUUGUAAUAAUGGUGAUUGGGGUUUAGCUUAGCAUGCUUCAGACAAGUAUGAUUCAUAUCCUCACAAGGUAUAUCCACUUUUUCUUCUCUCAGAUCAAGGCAAUGCUUAAAAGCUUAUAAUCACUCAUUUAUAUGUGAGAGAACAUAUUUUAAGGCAGUCAAAUAGCUCACAUAUAUAAGAAACGAAAAGCACUUUGUGAAUAUAAUUUUUUUUUUUCAAAAGAUCUCAUGAAGGAUAUCAACUACUUGCACGAAUGGACCCAAGCCAUAGGUUCAACUCUUGUAACUCAUCUCCACAUCAAAGGCUGUCCCAUCUUAAGGAUCAAGAAGGUCCUCUCAAAGGUUGUAAUGGGGCUAAGGCUCAAGGUUUAAAGAAAUGAAAGGUAAGGAUUAUCAAAGUGUCCUAAAAACCUAGUAGAGCUCAUAUGAAUGUAGAGAUCUCGAAAUAUUUCACCAAGGCAUUGCAAAAACGUCACUUCUCCAUAGAGGUAAUAUAAGAGGGCCAAAUGUCUUCAUGUUGGGCCCAAUCUUCAAUAUAAACUUCCCUUGAACUCUAGUGAAAUGGACAAAGGCCAAAUUUUUCUGUAGUGGGCCUUCAAUUCAAAGCAAACUCCAAAAUCACUAAGUAUGGGGGAUGAAAGUCCAUAAACAUAUAUUUUUUUUCUUUCUUUUUCUUUUUUAGCCGUACACAAUUUUUCUCUUUUCUUUUCAUUUUUCACGGCUUCAACAUAUCUAUUUCUUUAUGGACAAGUCUAUCCCCACACUUGAACUUUCACCUCUUCUCAAUCUUCAUCCUUAGCACCAAACCCAUGUAGUAUGUCUCAAAAGAUAGCUCCACUAAGUCCUUAGAACAAAGGGUAGGGUUGUAACUAUACUAAGCUUCAUGGUUAAGGAUUUUAAGGGUGAUGAACGAAAAGGCUUAAUGUAGGCUCAAAGGGGCUUAUCUAGGGGGGUCCCACGACGGGCACAAAUGGGGACACAAGUUUAUUUGGCAAUGGUGGUAAUUCCUAGAGAACCUCUAUCCCUUCCAGAAUCAGGGCCAUGUAUUGAUAUCACGUCUCAACAAGCACAAGAGCGAAUUCUAGCAUUCUCUAGUCCAUUAAACUUAAUCUAUGGCAAGCAGUCAAUCAAGAUGAAAGAAUAAUGAGAUCAUCAAAACAUCGCCAAGAAAUUAAGAAUAUAUUUUUCAUUUCACUCCAAGAAAAAGGGACAUGGUUCAAUUAUCUCACAUGGCUUUAUGAAUCACAACUCAUCUUAACAUGCUCAUAUUCUGUACCAAGGUCAUGCAAUCCAUAUCCACUACAAGGCACACAUUUUUCAUAUAUCUCAAUUAACCAAAGAAUACCAUGUUUAAAAUCAUCUCAAUGUUGUGAUCCUCUUUUAGUCAUGAUUUCAGAGAUAUAGAAUCAUCCCAGACAGUUGAAAGGCAUCCUAAGACUCAAAACAAAAACAAAAGCAACGAAAUUUUUUAUAUUUCUGACAUUUUUCGAUUUUUUUGUUUUGUUUUCUUUUUAUGACAAAAACUAACUACAAGCAUUAAUCCUUCCCCCCACACUUAAAUCAUACAUUGUCCUCAAUGUUAAACAAGUUAGAGCAUGCAAUGAACAAUUAUCAUGUGAAUGGAAUGAUUAACUCAAGAAAACCUAAAAACAAAAACUAAAAACGCAAAUAACAAAGAUACAAUCAGAAAAUAGUAAUAGAGGAGAUAGAGUUUAAGAGAGCAAAUCUGCGUUGAUGGCUCCUCCACAGCUACGGUUGAAAUGGGUUGCCUCCCAUGCAGCGCUUAAUGUUUAAAGUCUUUCAGCCUAGACUUGUACCUCCAUUUACUCCUUUGGAGGAGCGGUAUGCGGGCGAGUGGCAGCCUUCUUGCUGGUUUCAGCCUUCGGAGGAGGGUUCUGAUGGAGUGACAUAAAUAAAAAAAAAAAAAACGGGGGAGGCAAGGUUCGAAACCUUAACCUGCUACACGAAACCUUUGUCCCCAACCACUGGAGCACAAGCUGUGCUUAAUAUAAUGUGUACAAAUUUUAUACUUAUUAUGUCAUAAACGAACAUAAUAAAAAUAAACGAGAGGCAAGGUUCGAACCUCAGACCUCUUGUACACGAACUUUACACUCAACCACUCGAGCACGGCUGCUCACGUUAUUAUCCAUACCAAUCCUUUUAUUUAAACCAACUGUUUCAACUGUUUCAACAAUUCGGCACAAAACAUCCAAGACUGUUUCAGAAACUCGGCCCAACGUAUCCAAAACUGUUACAGAAAUCCGGCCCAACUCAUCCAAAACUGUUUCAGAAACUCGGCCCAUCAGGCCUCCACCCACAGCUACAGUGAUGCCUUGAUCCGAGACAGGCCCAAGUACGGCCCACUUGUGUCACGGCUUAUCCCUUCCGUGAUUUACGACAGUCAAAUCUGCUUUCGGCUACAGCUGUCCGCCACAGCGCCUCGAGAUUCCCUCGGUCCCCUUACACGCUCUCCACGCGCCAACAACUUUUCCGGGUUUCAGGGCGACUUUAAUCCAACGCGUAGAAUGAAUCACAGGAAUCGUCCAUCCAACGGUGGAGAUCUGCUCACCUCGCUCUAUAAAUAGGUGCAUUCUGAGGGCGCAACUGUUCACUCCAAAGGAACGAAAAUCUCUCCUGAGUUCCAGCCCCUCUCUCCCAACUCUUCAGCUUUUCCUCUUCUUUCAAAACUCAAAAUAUUUCUUCUUCGAUUCAAUCCUUCUCUUCUGAUCUUCUCUCCCAUCUAAUUGAUUCAAUCCCAUCUUUCCUCUGAACUUUCAGAUCUCCAACACACCAUCAUCAUCCUUAAUCCCUUUAACAACAACUCCUUCAAACACUUGACAACUUUACUCUUCGAUCUUCACAUCCCCUCAACCCAUCACCAUGGAACCACGAACUCUGCAACUGAUGGAGCUACAAACCCAGCAACAAAUCGAGGAUGGAGGAAACAACCAAGCAGCCGGGAGUAAUGCCAACACAGAUUUCUGGCGAAGCCGUGCCAGGUGGGUUCCUACUCCAGAUCAAAUAAGGAUCCUCAAGGAUCUUUACUACGACAAGGGAGUUAAGCGCCCAACUACAGAGCAUAUUCACGAGAUCUGUCUCCAGCUGAACCAGUAUGGACAUGUUGAGGGCAAGAACAUUUAUUUUUGGUUCCAGAAUGUCAGGGCUCGAGAGAAGCAGAUGAAGAGGUGCAAUCAGGCUGCUCAAGUGCCCAUGGGAACUAGUUCUCCUGGUACUGGUGGAUCCAUUGAUCUCAAUUUUGGGUCCACUGGUUCUACUGGUGCUGGUGGAUCCAUCGACAUCAAUUUUGGGCCAGCUGGUGGAUCCAUUGACAUCAAUUUUGGGUCCACUAGUUCUACUGAUGAUGGUAGAUCCAUUAAUCUCAACUUUGGUUCCACCGAUUCUACUGGUAAUGAAGGAUUUCUUGAUUUAAAUUUUGUUUCAUAUUCUUCCUCACACUUCAACACUAAUACCAGUACAACUCUUUUGGCACAACAGGAGGACAAACAUCCCUGCAACAACGAGGAGGAGAUCACCAGGAGAUUGAAACUCUUCCAUUGUUCCCCAUGCAUGGUGAGGACAUCUUGGGCAUCAUGAAGACUACUUCCGAGGGAGGUAGCGGUUAUGGCGGUGGCUCUCACAUUUCCCUUGAGCUCAGCCUCAACUCCUACAGAGAUGCAGACAUGGCUUAGUAUAGAGUAUUAUUAUUAUUAUUAUUAUUAUUAUUAUUUUUUUUUUUUUUUUUUGUAAAUAGCUGAAAUUAAUAAGACUGAAUGAAUGCAUUUUUUUUUUUUUUUUUUAAAUUUUUUUUUUUUUAUUAUUAUUUUUUUUUUUUUUUGUAAAAAGCUGAAUUUAAUAAGACUGAAUGAAUGCAUUUUAUUUUAUUUUUAUUUUUAUUUUUAUUUUAUUUUUAUUUUAUUUUUAUUAUUAUUAAAAAAUAUAGGACUCAAAAAUAUUUAUAGGACACAAAAUGAAAGACAAAAAUAUUUAUAGGAUUCAAAAUGAAAGACAAAAAUAUAA